GCCAGGAGUCCAGGGCUCCAGGAUCCAGUGGACAGAGGCACCUCUUUUGCAUAAAUCACCACGUAUUGUGUCUCUUGGCUCAGCCACCAGAUCCAGCCGCAAAAGACUGGCCCAGAAGGUGGCUCAAGCAGCAGAAGCAAACAGAUGGAACAAAUCAGCAGUGUUGGGGCAGGCCUAGCACAAGACCUCGCUGUGAGACGGUGAGCAAACAGCCCGCUGGAGUCUGUUCCUGGAUGACACUGGGCCCAGGCCUAGCUCACAGGAUCUGUGUCUCGAGCUCACACUGUCAUCACUGCUGGAGGAGCACGUGACCUUAAUCUGGAGAAACCCAUCACGGAGACCCGCCCUGGGACUUCCAGAAGGAAACUCCCUCCUGCACUGUGCUGCGUGGGUGGACGCCUGGACUGGACCCUGGCCAUAGUGCUCCUGGUAUGGGGCCAACCUAGGGGAGCCCAGAGCUGGGUCCUGAAGCAUCUUCAGGCUCACAUUCAAGCCACAUCUUAGCUAAGUGUGCUCAUGAACUUGGCUCAAGCCAGUGACUGAUUGAUUUCUUUUUUUUUUUAAUUUUUUUUAUAUUUAUUUUAUUUAUUUUUUCCCUUUUGUUGCCCUUGUUGUUUUAUUGUUGUAGUUAUUGUUGUUGUUGUUGUUGUUGUUGGAUAGGACAGAGAGAAAUGGAGAGAGGGAGGGGAAGGCAGAGAGGAGGAGAGAAAGAUAGACACCUGCAGACCUGCUUCACCGCCUGUGAAGCGACUCCCCUGCAGGUGGGGAGCCGGGGUUCGAACCGGGAUCCUUAUGCCAGUCUUUGUGCUUUGCGCCACCUGCGCUUAGCCCGCUGUACUACAGCCCGACUCCCGACUGAUUGAUUUCUUAAAUGUAAACCAGAGAAAGUUGAGUUUUCUGCACCAGCUCACUCUGGUUGAGUGACCCAGGAGGUGAUGCAGUGUUUAGAGCACUGGAAUUAUAAGCACAAGGUUCUGAGUUCAAUCCUUGGCAUCAAAUAUGCCAGAGUGAUGAUGCUCUAGUUCUCUCUCUCUGUAUUUAUUUAUUCUUUUGUCUAGAGACAGAGAAAUCAAUCAAGAGAGAAGGAAGAAGUAGAGGAGAGAGACAAAGUGACACCUGCAGCCCUGCUACAUUACUCAUGAAGCCCCCCCCCACCCAAGGUAGGGAGUGGGGGCUUGAACCUGGGUCUUUGCACAUUGUACAUAUAAUCGUAUAUAUCUUUGAAAGAAGUAUUCAAACUUCACCUUAUUGUUCAUGUAAUAAUAAUAAAAACAAAAUAUAGAAUAAAUUAGCCCGAGGAGCGGGGGCAUCUCUGCAGUGUUCUGCCCUUACUCCCAAGCCAAAGAGUAAGAA